UCCUGAAGAGGGUUCUUCCUGUCGAUGUCCCUCAGAAAUCUUUAAGUUACUGCCUGAGGAGUCAGGGCAUGCAGGUUUAGCCCCAGCUCUUACAGCAGUGACUCCAGCCAAGCUGCCCUGGUGUGUGUCAAAAUCAUGGCAUGACUCUGAGGAGGGAUUGAGGCUUUUACGGCACCUGCCAAAAGCUCACCAGUGGUCUGUGUCUGUUCCUGUGUCAUCUUGCAUCCUCGUUUUCUGAGCAGGCAGGAAGUCCCUCAAGCUUCACACAGGCAAUAGAAUGCUGUCCAUGAGAUCUUCAUGAGUGAUGCUAGCCACUGCUGUGCUGGGAGGAUCUGUGCUUCUGUGGUUGUGGGGAGGAGAGAGACAGCAGGGACCAGGGCAGGGAUCUGUGGAUCUGUGCUUGUCCAGCAGUUAAUGUUGAAAAGUUCUUUAGUAAUGAAAAAGAUGUUUUCUAAACAGGUAACUCUGGUCUCCCUAGACCAGCUGGACUCCUUUAAUCUUGGGGCUCUUGCCCAGAAAUUCAACAUCUGCCCCUACAUGGUCCUGCAGUCAAAUGUUUUUUCUCAGGUCCUUUUGAGAUUCAGCCCCAGCCUGCUCAAGGGUGGUGACAGCGCUGGUGUGUGUCUUGUGGAGGAUAGAGCAGAGAGUUUACCUGUGUGGGGUACGAGCUUCAGCUCACUUUGUGUAUGUUGUGUUUGAACCACAGGAGCUAUUUAGAAAGAGCCUAAGGAACAAGAUAGUUCAAAUCUAAGGCUAAAAUGUCUCAGACGGUAUCCAGCUACCCUGUGUUUCACUAAAGGCACAAAGGGCAGUUAUAGCAGCUCAGGUCUUGCUUGCAUGUCUGCAAUGAAUGUUCCUCUAUGGAAGAGCAGAGCCAGGAAGGAUUUUCUGUACUGCAGAUACCAAUACCACAGGAACUGUAGACAUUUCAGGUUUGAUGCUGGUAAAAAUGCUGAUUAGCCCCACAACAGGGACAGUACUGCUGGAUCCCUUGCUUCACCUCCAUAGAGUCCAAUUUGGGGUGAUUUGUGGUUUCCUACCUGCAGUUUAUCUCUGUAGUGGUGGCUGGUUCCUGUGGAGGAGGCAGAGCCACAGCAGGAUGUGUGAAGGGCCAUCCAGGAUUUGUGGACCCAUUCCUCCAGACCCUACACUCUUUCCAGACUAUUACAAACGCCCCUUCUCAGCUCGAGGGAGGCUGGAAGGGAAUGCUCUGAAGCUGGGUUUUAGCUCUGACCCUCUGGAUCCAGUUCCUAACCCAUACAGUGCCCGCCAAGUCCAACCAGCCCCUCGCAUUCGCCCCAGUGGAAAGGAUUUCCUGGAGAAGGGACGGAAGGGGACGCUUAGUCUCUUAUUGCAGCUUGAAGGGCUCUCCCUUGAUGGGAGGCUGCCAGUUGAGAGGAAAGAGUCCAAGGAUCAUGAGAAAGAAAAUGUAAGGAGGAUAAAAGAGAUUCAGAAGAAGUACAAAGAGAAGGAGCAAGCACAGGAGCACAGCAAGCCCAAGCCUGUGAAAGCUCUCUGGAAAUCCCAGAAAUAUGAAAACGUGGAGUCAAAGGUGAAGGCCAAACUCCAGGAGAGCUCCCCACCUCCAAAUCCAGAGGCUCUGAAAUUCCUGAGGGCAUAUUCUCGCUGUGGUCCUGGGAUCAAGCCACGCAGAUCGCUGUCCCCAGGGCCUGCCAGAAUGAAAACAGGAGCAGACACAGAGGAUCCAGAGGCACUGGGUGCUGAAAUCAAGCCUGCUGGAGAGGAAGGAGCUGUGGCGCAGAGAGAUGGAGGAGCGGCUGCGAAACCUGCCUGAUCCCAGCAUACCACCUGGUCACACCAAGAUGCAAGAGGACCAGCGGCUGGAGACCCUCAGCAGCCUGAAGCAGAGCCAGGAGCAGCUGGUAAAGGAACUGGUGAUGCUGCCAGUGCGGGCAGACACUCUGAGCGUGCAGAAGAGGCGGAUGGAGCUGGAGAGGAAGCUCUCCCAAACAGAAGAGGCCAUCAAAAUUUUCUC